GUCCCUUUUCUACAGCUACCAAAAGGCUAGACUGCCACUGUUGCUACUCCUGGCUGUGGCAGAAAGACAGUGCUGUCACACCAAAGAAAAAACCUGUGACCUGGUAGAGAAAAAGGUAAAGAGUCAGGGAACAAGUUGGCUCUACUGAAGUGGCUGAAACCAGUGUUUAACAAAAGCUUUGAGAGCACUGUGGACCAGGGCCCAGAUAUAUACAUAUACAUGUUCAGGGCAUGCUGGGAAGCUAGUAAUCACAUAUCUGGGGCAGGCCUAGUGCCAAUCAAUAAAAGUAACAGGGAGGAGGUAGGCAGACCCAACCAGACUCAUGUCUUCAAUGGAAGUAACUGGAUCAUGCUGAUCUAUAAAGAGGGUGAUGAAUACAACAACCACUGUAGCCAGAAGCAGCAUUGUCAUGCAGCAGUGAUAAUAGGAGUAAAGACUAUCAACACACCCUAGUGGGCAAUUUUAACCCUGUGUCUGAGGAGGAAGACAAAGUCCAAGAUUGUUUCUACCUCUUUGAGAUGGAUAGGAGCCUGGUCUAUUCCCCGGAGAUCUCCCACCUCGGGAUGGGUUCUGUCUUACUUAUCAUGUUUGCAUCACUGAUGGCUGUCUAUGUCAUUAGGGGGUUCCUAUUCCAGCAACUGAUGGUGGGAGCCAAUGGAAUUGAACAGAUUCCCUGGCUUAGCCUUCUGGCAAGCUCUUCACAACCUUGUAAAAGAUGGUUGUUACUUGGUGUGUCAUUCUAAGCCCUGAAAUGUGCCUGCUGUAUAUGGUUGUGUGAGGGAUGACCAGUUGGGGAAGGAGUCACAAGAAAAGGAUGGUCAUUUAUCACCAA
rnacentral:lncRNA from 1 species